rnacentral:miRNA from 1 species
UUUCCACAUCGUUGCUGACAUAAG